UGCAAGUAGAACGCUGAAGAGAGGAGCUUGCUCUUCUUGGAUGAGUUGCGAACGGGUGAGUAACGCGUAGGUAACCUGCCUUGUAGCGGGGGAUAACUAUUGGAAACGAUAGCUAAUACCGCAUAACAAUGGAUGACACAUGUCAUUUAUUUGAAAGGGGCAAUUGCUCCACUACAAGAUGGACCUGCGUUGUAUUAGCUAGUAGGUGAGGUAAUGGCUCACCUAGGCGACGAUACAUAGCUGACCUGAGAGGGUGAUCGGCCACACUGGGACUGAGACACGGCCCAGACUCCUACGGGAGGCAGCAGUAGGGAAUCUUCGGCAAUGGGGGCAACCCUGACCGAGCAACGCCGCGUGAGUGAAGAAGGUUUUCGGAUCGUAAAGCUCUGUUGUAAGUCAAGAACGGGUGUGAGAGUGGAAAGUUCACACUGUGACGGUAGCUUACCAGAAAGGGACGGCUAACUACGUGCCAGCAGCCGCGGUAAUACGUAGGUCCCGAGCGUUGUCCGGAUUUAUUGGGCGUAAAGCGAGCGCAGGCGGUUUGAUAAGUCUGAAGUUAAAGGCUGUGGCUCAACCAUAGUUCGCUUUGGAAACUGUCAAACUUGAGUGCAGAAGGGGAGAGUGGAAUUCCAUGUGUAGCGGUGUAAUGCGUAGAUAUAUGGAGGAACACCGGUGGCGAAAGCGGCUCUCCGGUCUGUAACUGACGCUGAGGCUCGAAAGCGUGGGGAGCGAACAGGAUUAGAUACCCUGGUAGUCCACGCCGUAAACGAUGAGUGCUAGGUGUUGGAUCCUUUCCGGGAUUCAGUGCCGCAGCUAACGCAUUAAGCACUCCGCC
rnacentral:rRNA from 1 species